rnacentral:rRNA from 1 species
AUUGAACGCUGGCGGCAUGCCUUACACAUGCAAGUCGAACGGUAACAGGUCUUCGGAUGCUGACGAGUGGCGAACGGGUGAGGAAUACAUCGGAACGUGCCUAGUAGUGGGGGAUAACUACUCGAAAGAGUGGCUAAUACCGCAUGAGAUCUACGGAUGAAAGCAGGGGAUCGCAAGACCUUGUGCUACUAGAGCGGCCGAUGGCAGAUUAGGUAGUUGGUGGGAUAAAAGCUUACCAAGCCGACGAUCGGUAGCUGGUCUGAGAGGACGAUCAGCCACACUGGGACUGAGACACGGCCCAGACUCCUACGGGAGGCAGCAGUGGGGAAUUUUGGACAAUGGGCGCAAGCCUGAUCCAGCAAUGCCGCGUGCAGGAUGAAGGCCUUCGGGUUGUAAACUGCUUUUGUACGGAACGAAAAGCCCCGGGUUAAUACCCUGGGGUCAUGACGGUACCGUAAGAAUAAGCACCGGCUAACUACGUGCCAGCCGCCGCGGUAA